GCCCAGGUGGCGGAAUAGGUAGACGCCCGGGACUUAAAAUCCCGUGCCCGCAAGGGCGUGCCGGUUCGAUUCCGGCCCUGGGUACCA
rnacentral:tRNA from 1 species